rnacentral:rRNA from 1 species
UGGGGAGUAUUGGACAAUGGGCGAAAGCCUGAUCCAGCCAUGCCGCAUGAGUGAAGAAGGCCUUUGGGUUGUAAAGCUCUUUUAGUGAGGAAGAUAAUGACG